AUCCGGCUGAUGAGUCCCGAGUAGGACGAAAAGCGCGUCCUGGAU
rnacentral:hammerhead_ribozyme from 1 species